rnacentral:rRNA from 1 species
UAACUAUAAAAACAAAGAUUUUAAAUAACUCAAAACAUUUAUAUAGCAAGUAAAGGUGAGAGAAAUUUGUUUCAUAGCAAGGAAGUACUGAGAAGGAAGCAUAAAAAUUAGAGGAUAUAAAAAAUAAAAUCUUGUACCUUUUGCAUCAUGGCUUAGCUAGAUUCCAUCCUUUUAUAAGGCUUCUCGAAAUCUAAUGGGCUAUUCUUAGACAAACUUUUAGGUUAACAAAGUAAUUGUGGCAGAAAUUUUUUUAGAUCUAAGAAUAGAAAUGAAAUUUUAUUCGUAUUAGAUGAUAGCUAGUUCUUUUCCAAAAGUAUAGAAGUACUAUAAAUUAAAGGUAUUAUAGGAUUAAUCGCCUGUAAUAUGUAAUUAGUUUAAUCAAGUCUUUGAGGAUAAGCUCGAGGAUAUUAAAAUGUUGUAUUGUUAGUGCUCCUAGUUAAAUUUAAGCUUGAAAAUGGCUACAAUGUAGGAUUUUGUUAUAAUUUCAUUACUUACUAAAACACAAAAUAAAUUUACUUGUAAUACAGGAAAGAAAGCUUUGGAAUUUAAAUAUGAGUUAAACUCAUGCUAGGAUGAGUAUUUAAUCCUUUUUAAUUCUUGUAAAAGAUAGAUACAUAGACUAUAAAAGUUGUUUAAGUUAUAAAUUAUUGAAAGGAACUCGGCAAAGAUUUAUUCCGCCUGUUUAUCAAAAACAUGGCUCCUCGAUUUAUAUACAUGAGGAGUCGUACCUGCCCAGUGAAUUUUUUUAACGGCCGCGGUACUCUGACCGUGCAAAGGUAGCAUAAUCAUUUGCCUUAUAAUUGAAGGCUAGUAUGAAUGGUUUGACGAGAAUAAAGCUGUCUCUUUUUAAUUGAGUAUAAUUUUAUCUAUAGGUGAAGAAGCCUAUAUUAUAUUGAAAGACAAGAAGACCCUAUCGAGCUUUAAAUAAUUUAGGAGAUUAACUACAUAUUUAUUAAAAAAAUUAGGCUCUUAAGAAUUUUGGUUGGGGCGACUGAGGAACAAAUAAAGCUUCCUUCAAAUCAGGGAGACAGAUAAGUUUUGACCCGGAACUUCCGGUUAAAAGAAUUAGUUACCGUAGGGAUAACAGCAUAAUCCUCUUUGAGAGUUCUUAUCGAAAGGGGGGCUUGUGACCUCGAUGUUGGACCAGAAUACCCAGAAGAUGCAGCCGUCUUCAAUGGUUGGUCUGUUCGACCAUUAAAAUUCUACGUGAUCUGAGUUCAGACCGGCGUGAGCCAGGUCAGUUUCUAUCUUCAAUUUUUAAAAUAACCUUAGUACGAAAGGACCAGGAUAUUGCAAAAUAUGUGUUGCAUAAUGAUUAAAUAUAAAGAACGUGUGACUUACCAGCUAA